UUAAGAUAAUUCUAUUUGAAUCUUUUUUCAAUGUAAGUGAAAUGCAUUAUAACUAUGCUAUAUCUUA
rnacentral:tRNA from 1 species